AGCAGUCGCCGCGGUAAUACGAAGGUCCCGAGCGUUGUUCAGAAUCACUGGGCGUAAAGGGAGCGUAGGCGGCGUGGUAAGUCAGAUGUGAAAUCCCGGGGCUCAACCCCGGAACUGCAUCCGAUACUGCCGUGCUAGAGGAUUGGAGAGGUAGCUGGAAUUCUUGGUGUAGCAGUGAAAUGCGUGGAGAUCAAGAGGAACACAGUGGCGAAGGCGACUCUCUGGUCUGUAACUGACGCUGAGGAGCGAAAGCGUGGGGAGCGAACAGGAUUAGAUACCCCCGUAGUCCCUGUCUCUUAUACA
rnacentral:rRNA from 1 species